rnacentral:rRNA from 1 species
GACGAACGCUGGCGGCGUGCUUAACACAUGCAAGUCGAACGCUGAAGACCUGGCUUUUGUUGGGUUGGAUGAGUGGCGAACGGGUGAGUAACACGUGAGUAACCUGCCCUCUUCUUUGGGAUAACGCCCGGAAACGGGUGCUAAUACUGGAUAUUCACUGAUCUUCGCAUGGGGGUUGGUGGAAAGGUUUGUUCUGGUGGGGGAUGGGCUCGCGGCCUAUCAGCUUGUUGGUGGGGUGAUGGCCUACCAAGGCUUUGACGGGUAGCCGGCCUGAGAGGGUGACCGGUCACAUUGGGACUGAGAUACGGCCCAGACUCCUACGGGAGGCAGCAGUGGGGAAUAUUGCACAAUGGGCGAAAGCCUGAUGCAGCGACGACGCGUGAGGGAUGGAGGCCUUCGGGUUGUAAACCUCUUUCGCGCAUGGUCAAGCCGCAACUGUGGGUUGUGGUGAGGGUAGUGGGUAAAGAAGCGCCGGCUAACUACGUG